GUGAGGGAUAUUCGGCAAUGGGGGCAACCCUGACCGAGCGACGCCGCGUGGGGGAUGACGGCCUUCGGGUUGUAAACCCCUUUUCUGUGGGACGAGGUAUACGGACGGUACCACAGGAAGAAGCCUCGGCUAACUACGUGCCAGCAGCCGCGGUAAUACGUAGGAGGCGAGCGUUGUCCGGAGUUACUGGGCGUAAAGGGUGCGCAGGCGGCCCCGCGCGUGGGUGGUGAAAUCUCCCGGCUCACCUGGGAGGGGGCCAUCCAGACGGCGGGGCUUGAGGCUCGGAGAGGGACGUGGAAUUCCGGGUGGAGCGGUGAAAUGCGUAGAGAUCCGGAGGAACACCGACGGCGAAGGCAGCGUCCUGGCCGAGACCUGACGCUCAGGCACGAAAGCUGGGGGAGCGAACAGGAUUAGAUACCCUUGUAGUCC
rnacentral:rRNA from 1 species